AUUCUUUGAUUCCUAAGCGUGAUAUAUGGGCAUUCAUGUCAUGUGUGACAUGUGCCUCUCCCCCAGGCCUUAAUUAGGACAUGGGCACAUUACCCAUUUGAGA
rfam:Fukomys damarensis contig117289, whole genome shotgun sequence.